UACACAACCUACAAACACCUAUUGAGAAUGUUACAUCGGCAAAGUAAAUUUAAAAAAAAAGAUAGAUAAACUACUUCAAAUUCAGAUAUAAACGCUAUAUUUGUUCAGAAUAGUAAUAGUAAUAUUUUUUCCCUGUCAAAGAAAGAAAACAAAAAAAAAAGAUUUUCGCAUUUAGCCUAUACACUUAUUUUUCCGUGAUCGGGAUCGUGGGCCCCGCAGGGUUUUCUGAAAGUGUGCACGGGGAACACACGUGUUUCCGUUUCAACGAAAACAACACAGCUUCACUGUGAUUGUCACAGCGAACGCUUGUAUUUUACAUCUUUAAAACGACCUGAUGUCAGAAGAAGAAGAUACCCUGGAUCUCCUGUUGCAGGAUGACCCAAACGAUCAUGCAUUCAGUAUAAACAUGUAGAUGUAAGUUGAUGUAGCCACAUAGGCCGACUAGAAAGAAAAAAAAAUUGCGGUUUUGUGAUGUUAUGAAAAAUUCACGAUUAAUUAACCGCGAUUUGAUGCCAUAAUUUGUCGUUUCAUGAAAGAAAAUAUUUAUAUUUUAUUAUAUCUAAACCAAGUGAAUAACACCCAAUUGUUUAGUAGAGCUGACAUCAUUUAAUCCGUCCUGGUCCGGCAUUGAUCAGUCUGAUUACACCCCCCCCUUCCCCCCCAGAAUUAUCUCCUUACCUGACGCGCGAGUGUAAGAAGUGAGUGGAUUUAGUGUGCAAUGGGAAGGGGGAUGGGGUGGUUUUAAUCAGACUGGGCAUUCAUGACCGCUGGUGAGUAGGCUAUUUUUCCAAGAUUUUUCCAUGUUUAUAAAAAAAUAUCUUUCUAUGAAAAUAAAUCACAAUCUGUUAGAAAAACACAUUUUACAUUAUUGUAAUGACAGAAUUUAUUAUCAUAAUUUGAAUUAUUUUCUUCAUAUUAUAACAGAAAUAAAAACAAAUUGUGUGUUUGGGCCAAAAUGGGGGGGGGGGGGGUAACACCAAUCAAAGUGAUUAUGACAGGCUAAUGAAAAAUCAUCUUGAUUUCUCUUUUAUCCAAAUGCAUGUAUUUUAUAUACACUUAGUAGCUUAUGACCAUGAAUUACAUGUGAUCCAUACAUGCUGGUGCUUGUAUGGUAUGAGCUGAUGUGCAUGUGCCUCCUUCUUGCCUAGAUUUUUCUCUAAUUUCGACUGAAUCCACACCCCAUCAGAGUAACAUGCGAGGGGAUUUAGACACUGUGUACCAUGAAGAACCAAUUCAAUUCUACUUUUAUAUCUGGGGUCAUUCACUUUCCUCAGAGUUGCAGUAUUUUCGCUGGACCCUGUAGGUUUUAACCUGAAUUUCUUCAGUAUUUGCCCCCAUGUAUAUGCUAGGCAUAAUGCUGACACCUACAUGAUGCAUAUUUUUUUUUUCAUUACACACUUUGCUACACUCGUAAUGUAUAAUGAAAUAGUCCAUUCAUUUCUAACACAUGUAUGCAAUCCCUUACCAAAUGUCACUUCAAAUACAGGACACCUCUAUCUAUAAAUAAAUUUGAGCUGUAUUUAAGUGCGAAACUGUCCCUUGCUACCAUGAAACUUAUAUUUUGUUUUAAAACAUAAGCCAACAAUUCUUAAUUGUAAUUUCUUUUUAUCUUUAAAAAGGGUAUGGACAUCCCAAUAUUUAGUGGGAAGGUCCCAGGUAUCAUCCGCUAGUGACAGUGACUACUGGCAAACCCAGACAUGCAUUGGAGGGAUGUUGAUGUGGAGGACACAGGGACACCUGAUCCAAGAACUGUUAUAUUUCAUUCGGUUUCGGAGUGACAACCUGGCAUUCAGUUGAUAUGGGACCCGUUUAUUCAGAGAACUGCAGAUUUUAUGAAGCUGUUUUGACAGAAGAUUUAGUUUUCUCCAUCUGUGUUGCCAUCAACCAUUAUGCUGAGCUGGUCAUAUCUAGAGGGAAGGAUCGUCAUAUGCUUCCCAAGGAAGUUCGCAGCCUCUCACUGAAGAGGAUACUAGUUAAAAAAACCGAUAUUAUGACAGUGAUUUCCAGUUUAAAACGAGUAAUAAAAUGCAUAAUAAAAAUAUUACCUUUACCAAAAUUAAUCUGGCUGCACAUCUAACACAUUUAUUAAAUGUGUACUCAAUUACCUCAGAUGCAAGGUGAAUAUAAAAUUUCAUAAUUAAAUUUUCUGAGGGCCUUGAUUAUAGAAAACAUUUACAGAGCCAAUUGAGUAUUCGAAAGCUCUGACAAUACAUUAGUAUUUAGGGCCUAGUAUUAAGAAAUCCCCCCCCCCGAUUUUUGUGCAUUAUCUUAUACAUGUCUGCUGUGAAGUUCCAGUCGAUAGACAGAUGUUGGUGAAUGCAUGCCCCUAUCGGAACAACCCAGUAUCAACCCAGUAUCAAGAAUUGUAUCUAGAACUAUUUUUGUUAAAUAUAAUGCAAGUAUAAAAGUUUAAAUCUAGUGAUUGAAAGUAAGUGGGGAUCCGGGUUAGAAUAUGUCCUCAGUAUCCCUUGCUUGUCGUAGAAGGCGACUAAAUGGGCCGGUCCUUUGGAGGAGACCGCAAAAACCGAGGUCCCAUGUCACAGCAGGUGUGGCACGAUAAAAAUCCCUCCCUGCUCAAAGGCCAUAAGCGCCGAGCAUAGGCCUAAAUUUUGCAGCCCUUCAACGGCAGUGAUGACGUCUCCAUAUGAGUGAAAUAUUCUCGAGAGGGACGUUAAAUUAUAUUCAAUCAAUCAAUCAUUCGUAUAUGUUGAACUUGGGAAGGAAAAACGGGAGUACUUUUUGAUAACAUUUGAUAAAGUGUUGUUGCUUAGAAACCAAAUAUAUUUGAAUACAAAAAAAUUAUUUAUUUUAGAUUAACAAUAAAGAUCUUUGUUUUAAUGUUGCGAUACUUAUUCUAUUUAGUGGAACAUAUGGCAAAACGUCAUAUUAGAAAAUGAUGGAUAUGUAUAUAAAGUACGAAAUUUCCAUUUUAUGACCUUUGACCUUAAUUCUCUUCAUCAUAUAUUUUGUUAAAAACCCUUUAAAAUGAUUGAGAUCUAUUUUAAGAUUAUAUUUUUAAAAUAAUGUGACAUUUACUAAUCAUCAUGAAUGUAAUUAUGUUUAAAUUGUGUCGAAUGGAUGCAGAAAGGCAAAUUAUGGUCAAAAGUGUACUAAAAGUGUUGUUACUUAGCAACCAAAAUAUUUGUUUUUCAAUAAAAUUGAUUAAUUUGAUUGUGGUGUUUUUGUAGUAUUUUAAAAGGCACAUCAGCUCAUGCAUUUAGAAUUUCCUAUUUUUUACUCUAAUCUUGUAAGAGGGGUUGUAAUAUAUAUAUUUCAGAGAAAAAAGGUUGCAAAAUUGUGCACUUAUAUGACCUUUGACCCCGUAGACCUCCUUGAGGUCAUGGGAUACCUUGACAAACUUUAUAAGAAACUGUUCCCUGUCCAAUUCCUAACAAAAUUAUAUGUCGUAUGUUUGCCCCAAAUCGUGAUACAUGCAGAUUUAAAUCGAUGUAAAAAUAUUGUCAUUUAGUCUUUAAAAACCUCUGAAAUCUGCCGGUAGAGAAAGGGUUAAUGCUAUUGAUACUAAAUUGAAAGUAAAUAGAUAUUUAGAAAGAAGAGGUAGUUCUUUACCAAAAUUGUAAAUUUGAUUAUUCCAGGGGUAGGGGUUUUGGUAUCAGGGUGGGACCAAAAUGUUCAGUUAUUAAGUGUGUGAACAAUAGACAUUUUUAACUUCUUCUUGAUAACCAUCAUUCCAAUUCUUUUCAAAUUUGGUAUGAAACAUCUUUGGAACAAGGGGGAACAUAAAUUGUAAAUUUCAGGAUUCCUGCAUCCCUGGGGCCUUAGGGGCGGGGUAAAAACUGCCAAAAAAACCCAACCAAUUUUCAAAAUUGAUGUAGAGCAGGAAGGCUUCUACCAAACUUGUAAAUUUCAUGUUCUCCGGGGUAGGGGUUAUGACCCCAGGGCAGGGCCUAGCUUGUUAUAUAGUGUUUAUGUGUAAAACAUUUAAAUAACAUUUUCUUUAGGGCUUUUGAUACUAAAUUGAAACUAAAUGGAUAGAGCAGGUAGUCUUGUUUUAUACUGUUGCUGAACAUUAGAAUUUAGCUUAGAUAUUUAGAACAGGAAUUUUUUUUCUAGAUUUCAUUGCCCAUGGAAGUAGUGAUACUUUUUCACUAGUAUUCAGGUGACUGAUAAGGCCUGUGGGCCUCUUGUUUUCUGUUCUUGCAGAUAUCUAUUUGAUAUUUGGUAUGUCUCUUUGCAAUAACAAGUCACAUAUUAAGUUCGAAUUCCGUCUUGGUCCGUUAAUUUUUCACUUAGUUAUGGCUCUUGGACUUAAAAAAAAAUAGUAGGCAUUAUCAGUUUUCCCGUCUUUUUAGCUCACCUGAGCGAAAAGCUCAAGUGAGCUUUUCUGAUCACCCGUAUUUCGGCAUCCGCCAAUCUGUCUCUCUGUAAACUUUUAACAUUUUCGACUUCUUCUCAAAAACCACUGGGUCAAUUUCAGCUAAAGUUGGCACAAAGCAUCCUUAGGUAAAUGGAAUUCUAAAUUGUUAAAACAAAGGGUCAGGCUACCUUCCAAGUGGAGAUAAUCAAGAAAAGGUAGAACUAGAGUAGGGUCAUUAAAAAAUCUUCUUUUCAAGAACCACUGGGUCAGAAAAGAUGAAAUUUAUAGAUAUAGAUGGUGUGUCCAGGGGUCCGUGUUUGCCCAACUAUCUAUUUUGCAUUGCUUGUAGGAGUUAUGAGAUUGAUCACUGUUCAUUAUCUUAACCUUGCAUUAGGUAGUGCAGAUUCUAAAUUGUAAAAAUCAUGGCCCCCGGGGGUUGGAUAGGGCCACAAUAGGGGAUCAAUGUUUUACAUACAUAUAUAUAAGAAAAAUCUUUUAAAAUCUUCUUCUCAAGAACCACUGAGUCAGAAAAGCUGAGAUUUAUAUGAAACUUCCUGAUAUAGUGCAGAUUCAGGUUUGUUAAAAGCAUGGCACUCGGGGGUCGGAUGUGGCCACAUUAGGGGAUCACAGUUUUACAUACAAAUAUAUCGGGAACAUUUUUAAAAAUCAUCUUCUCAAGAACCACUGAGCCAGAAAAGCUGAUAUUUACAUGAAGCCUUUCUGACAUAGUGUAGAUUCAAGUUUGUUCAAAGCAUGACCCCUGGGGGUAGGAUGGGACCACAAGGGGGGGGGGGUCAAAGUUUUACAUACAAAUAUAUAGGAACAAUCUUUAAAAACCUUCUUCUUAAGAACCAUUGGACCAAAGAAGUUCACAUUUACAUGAAAGCUUUCUAACAUAGUGUAGAUUCAAGUUUGCAAAACCCAUAGCCUCCAGGGGUAGGUUCGGACCAUAAUAAUGACAACGGUUUUACAUGCAAAUAUAUAUGGAAAUUCUUCUGAUAUGGACCAAGGUGACUCAGAUGAGCGAUGUGGCCCAUUUAUAACGUUUAAUUAAUUUAGUUGUGCUUGCAGAUAUUCAUUUUAUAUUUGGUACAUUACUUUGCCAUAACAAGUUACAUAUCAAUUUUGAAUUUCAUAUUGGUCCGUUCAUUUUUCAUUAAGUUAUGGUCCUUGGACGUAGAAAAAUAGCAUGAAUUGUUAGUUUACAUCCAAGUUUCUUAUCUCUGUGGAUAAGAAUUAAGAAUACUACACUCAUUAAAAUGUAUAGCAUAGUAAUACAACCAUAUAGAUAAAUUAUUCAUGAUCAUCUACAUGUCACAGUUUAUUGACUUGGAUAAAUACCUAAACCUAAUUAUAAAUUUGUCUUUUUUCCUGGUCUAGUUUCUCCUCGAAUAGUAGUUGAUUUCCAACCAUUCCUAUCCUGGUUCCCCAAUUUUCCCUUUUACCAUAACCUACAUAAUGAACUUUGAAUAUUGUUGUAGUACAGUAAUUAUUGCAACCGGUAAGGGACUAUGUAUUGCCAUGCAAUACUCUCAGAAUGCUUGUUUUAUUUUGUGUUACCAUACAAGGCUUUAGCAUUUUUAAUUUUUUUUUUUUUGUGUUACCAUACAAGACUCAAGGACUUUUAAUUAUUUUAUUUUGUGUUACCAUACAAGACUCAAGUACUUUUAAUUAUUUUAUUUUGUGUUACCAUACAAGACUCAAGCACUUUUAAUUAUUUUAGUUUGUGUUACCAUACAAGGCUCAAACACGUUUUAGCUCACCUGAACCAAAGACUCAAUUGAGCUUUUUUGAUCGAAAUUUGUUUGUCGUCGUCAUUGUUGUCAGCGUCGUUGUAAACUUUUCACAUUUCCAUCUUCUCCAGAACCACUGUGUCAAUUUCAACCAAACUUGGCAGAAAACAUCCUUGGGUGUAGGGAAUUUUAAGUUUGUUCAAAUGAAGGACCUUGCCUCCUUCAAAUUGGAGAUAAUUACAAAAAUCUUCUACUCAAGUACCACUGGGCCAGAAAAGCUGACAUUUAUAUGAAAGCUUCCUGAAAUAGUUUGUUAAAAACCAUGGUCCUCAGGGAUAGGAUGGGGCCACAGUAUGGGGGAUAAAAGAUUUAUAUGUAAAUAUAUUGGGAACAUCUUUAAAAAUCUUCUUCUCGAGAACCACUGGACCAGAAAAGUUUAUAUUUACAUGAAAGCUUCCUGAUAUAGUGCAGAUUCAAGUUUGUUAAAACCAUUGCCCCCAGGUGCGGGGUGGGGUCGUUAAAGGGGAUCAAAGUUUUACAUACAUACAUACGUACAUGUAUGUAUAGGGAAAAUAUUGAAGAAAAGGUUUAUAUUUACAUAUUAUGUACAUGAAAACUUCCUGACAUAGUACAGAUUCAAGUUUGUAAAAAUCAUAGCCCCCAGUGGUAGGGUAGGGCCACAAUAGAGGAUCAAAGUUUUACAUAGAAAUAUAUAGGAAAGAUUUUUAAAAAAAAUUUCAAGAACCGUUGGGCCAGAGAAGUAAAUAUAUUUACAUAAAAGAUUUGUGAAAUAGUGCAGAUUCAAGUUUAUAAACAUCACACCGCUCGGGAGUAGGAUGUGGCCACAAUAGGGGAUCAAAGUUUUACAUACAAAUAUAUAGUGAAAAUCUUUGAAGAUCUUCUCAAGAACCACUUGGCCGGAAAAGUUUACAUUCUGACAUAUAGUACAGAUUCCAAUUUGUGAAAGCAUGCCCCCCUCUACCCUCCCCCCCCCCCCAUUACACACACACACUCUUCCACUGUUACCAUACAAGACUUAUGUAAAGUUUGGAGUGCAUUUAAGGAAUAACUUUCUUGUUGUCAAGGGAGAUGGAGAUGAUCAAUAGAUACCUUAAAUCUAGAUGGUCACUCAUUAUCAAUAAAUGGUCACUCAUUAUCAAAUCUAGAUGGUGACUCAUUGUCAAAAAUAGACGGUCACGUAUUGUCAAAUCUAGAUGGGCAUUGUCGUUGUUGAUGUAAACUCUCCAGAACCACUGCAUCAAUUUCAGUUAAACUUUGUACAUAUCAUUAAUGGAUGAAGGAUAUUGAAGUUUGUUCAAAUAAAGGGCCAUCUCAUAUCCCCUUCAAAUGGGAGAUAAUCACAGAAAUGUAAGAAUAGGGUGAGGUAAUUUAAAAAUGUUCUUAAGAUCCGCUGAGUCAGGUAAGCUUCCUGACAUAAUGUAGAUUCAAUUUUGUUAGAAUCAUGACCCCCGGGUUUAGUUGGGGUCAAAAUAGGGUAUCAAAGUUUUACCUGCUGAUAUAUAGUAAACUAUUCUUCUCCAGAACGACUUGGCCAAUUUCAAUCAAACAUUCUUGGAGGAAUGGUGAAAGGGAUUCAAGUUUGUUUAAAUGAAGUACCAUUCUCCCUUUAGAGGGAAGGUAAUCACAAAAAGGUGAGUCAUUGAAUUAUUUUUUGUUUACAUAGGUUAAAUAUACAAGUAAGUAAAAGUUUCAUUUUCAGCAGAUUUUUCUAUUUACAAGUGAAUUAUGAACACAAUUAACCAGUUUGUCAUGUGUUUGUGACAUCUCAUUUUGGUUUAAACAUAUCUUCUCUUAAGUAAUCUAUAUGUAAACAAAAACACGGAGCAAUAGUUGUUCACAUAACAAAGAAAUAAGAGUGCUGUAUAUCUCUCGUAACUCAAUGAAAGACAUAAACAUGUUGCUGACCAAUAGAAAUGUCACAGUUAAGCAUUAUAAACAUUAAAGGGGCAUUAACUGUGAAAUUGGUGGCAACCAUAUUUUUUUUUUUAAAUAUCUCGAUGGCAAAGGAAUAUAUAUUGAAUGACUAAUAAAAACAUUUAUUCUGUACAAAAAACAAGAGACACCUAAUAAAACUACAUUACAUAACUGCUUUUAGUGUAAAGGAAUAUAUAACAAAGAUUUACUGUCUUGCCAGACAAUGAUUAUUUAACCACCAAAAUUACCUAUAUUCAUAUACCUGUUUUGAGGUUAAAAAGUGAUUGCAAUAAUUAGAUACUGGUGUUAUUACUGAAAUAUAUGUUAUCAAUCAAUUUUUAUUGAAUUCAAUUUUUGGUGACAAAAUUGCAAAAAAUAUCCCUUUAAAAUGUGGAAAGUAAGAUUUGAACAUUUUUUAGUUCAAAUCAAACCCAUGCCCCUUUAAUCAGCUUGAUAAAAUGAUAGUCUGUGUGUGAAGGGUUGGGGGUUUAACACAAAGGAAACAUUUGAUGAUUUACAUAAUCACUGAACACAAUUCAAACACGCUUAGUGAAGUCAACAGGAAAAUUAAUGAAAUUGCAGCUCCACUGACAAGAAAUAACAAUUUCCUCUGGGGAGAGAGAGAGAGAGAGAGAUAGAGAGAGAGAGAGAAAAAAGAAGAGAGAGAGAGAGAGAGAGAGAGAGAGAGAGAGAGAGAGAGAGAGACUCUACAUUUCAAUACACAUUUCUGGUAUUUUGUCAUUGAACAUAUUUACAUAUAUGAGAUAUUUUGAGAUAUUGAAAUAUAUUUCAGGUGACGAUGGCUUGUCUGAGUGUUGGAGAAGAGUGUUAUAGAAAUCUGAAGGAAGGAUCCCUACAUUCCAUCUAAAUGGUCAAGCAGAACUGAUCAACUUUUAUAUUAAAGUUCAGUUAGUUUAUUAAAUACAUGUACCAUGGACAUUCUAUGCAGGAAAGGUGAAGAUAAUGAACAGUGUUCAAUCUCAUAACUCAUAUAUUGGUUUCCACUUUCCCUACCUACCCUAAAAAUUUCUGCCGACCCUUAACACAUUUUUUUCCGUUCUCACAGAUUUUGCAAAUAUCAUCACUACAAUAUUGACUUAUUCAUCAAAUUAUUUUUUAUGCACUAAUACUAGAGAAAUUCCAAAAACACAGAAACGGUUUUUGUUUACAGUAAAGUGAAGAAAUGUAUUGAUUAAUCAUAUAAAUUUUAUUUGAUUACUGCAAAAUUAUUUUUUUAGUUGGUUUAAGUUUGUGACUAAAAUUCAAGGUAUAUAAGGCUGUGUUUGAUCAGUUUACUUCACUUGGUUAGGUGCUGACAUCAUGGUAAGAUUUCUUUUCUCUUAAUCUGAACAACAAAAGCCUCAAGGUUUUAAAACUCUGAAUAUAGUCACUAGCAUGAAAUAAGCAUACUUUUUGUAAAAAUAGGUGUUGGGAACUGCUAAAAACUUCAAGGUUUUACUGCAGACUUAAGGUUGUUAUUUUGUUAGGAUAAUACUCAGAGUUAGCAGGUAGUUUGCAAGUUUAUUAUAGGUUUUUCCUUUCCAAGUCCUGUUUCAAGGUGUAGUGGAUAGCGGUAGGAUAUUUUAUACUUUAGUACUGACAAUCAUAUCCUAACACAGUACUCUCUAUCUAGGUCAAGAUGUAGCUUGUUCUCUUUCUAUUUUUGGGGGGAAAUAUUUAAGAUUAUUGAAACCAGUAGGGACAUAUUUAGAUAUUUUCAUUCUGUCAUAUUUUCUUACCUCUGUUACAAACAUUUCAUUUUUUGCUGAUUCAUUUCAACUUUGAUUCUAUUUCAUACUUUGUUAUUUUAUUAUUUAAUUUGUUAUUUGCUACCAUUUACAAUAUCAAUCAAUCCUAAAUCAUUAAUAAAUUGUAAACUCUU